rnacentral:misc_RNA from 1 species
GCCGAACAUACCGCCGUCAGCGAAGCGGUUGUUACUGAAAUGGCACAGGGCGCUAAGGAUCAGGCUGAGGUCAAUAUCAGCAUAGCGAUCAGCGGCUAUGGCGGUCCGGAAGGCGGCGAAGAUGGCACGCCGGCGGGCACCGUUUGGUUUGCCUGGAAUAUUAACAAUACAACUUUUACAAGCCGACAACAUUUCAACGGAGAUUGUCAGGAAGUAUUAGAAAAAUGCGUACGCUUCGCCCUCGCUGAAUUGCUUUUUCUGUUAACGAAGAAAGCAUAAACAAUAAUUUCAUCUGACCGGUCAGAACAACUCCCGGUCAGAAUAAAAAAAUGCGAGCCUAUGGCCCGCAUCGUAUGUGCAAUAUUUCAGAA